CAUCGCCUCUUGAACCCUUAUAAGAGGUCCAGCCUGCCCAGUGACUCUGUUCAACGGCCGCGGUAUCCUAACCGUGCGAAGGUAGCGUAAUCACUUGUUCUUUAAAUGUGGACUAGUAUGAAUGGCAUCACGAAGGUUAUACUGUCUCCUUUUUCUAAUCAGUGAAACUAAUCUCCCCGUGAAGAAGCGAGGAUAAAACUAUAAGACGAGAAGACCCUAUGGAGCUUUAAACAUUUAUAACACUUGCUAAAUAAAAUACAAAUUUCAGAAUUAUUUACUCUUUAAGCAACUUGUCUAUAAGUUUUUGGUUGGGGUGACCGCGGAGCAUAAUACAACCUCCAUGUUGAAAGAUCUAUUUCUAAGCUAAGAGCUACACCUCUAAGCAUCAACAUAUUGACAUCCAUUGACCCAAUAUAUUUGAACAACGAACCAAGUUACCCUAGGGAUAACAGCGCAAUCCACUUCAAGAGCUCCUAUCGACAAGUGGGUUUACGACCUCGAUGUUGGAUCAGGGUUUCCCAGUGGUGCAGCCGCUACUAAAGGUUCGUUUGUUCAACGAUUAAACCCUACGU
rnacentral:rRNA from 1 species